UACAGAGGUCUCAAGCGUUGUUCGGAUUCAUUGGGCGUAAAGCGCACGUAGGCGGAUAUUUAAGUCAGGGGUGAAAUCCCGGGGCUCAACCCCGGAACUGCCUUUGAUACUGGGUAUCUCGAGUCCGAGAGAGGUGAGUGGAAUUCCGGGUGUAGAGGUGAAAUUCGUAGAUAUUCGGAGGAACACCAGUGGCGAAGGCGGCUCACUGGCUCGGUACUGACGCUGAGGUGCGAAAGCGUGGGGAGCAAACAGG
rnacentral:rRNA from 1 species